UACUAUGUUCAAAUCCUGAUGAUGCAAGCUGCAGAUUUCUGGCUGCAAACUGAGUCCCAUUAUCUGCAAAAAGUUCCAUUCUGGGCCAACUGACUGUUGCCACAUUCAGUAACAGGCUGCUGCUGUUUUAUGACACACCAGACCAAGCCUUUGUAGGAUGUAGGUGUCAGUUAUGUUCUACUUGAGUGCUGUGGGAGAGAGAUUCUGGGGUCUGAGAGGCUGGAAGCUUCAGGCGGCAGAGUUGGGCACUGCAGUUCCUUUGCCUGCUGGCUCCAAUGCUGUUGGUAGAUGUGGUGGAGCAGGCCUGGGUUACUACACACCAUCUCUGAGGGGGCAGGGGGCCAGCAAGACCCCUCCUGACAGCUGCAUAGAAUCCCCCUCCUUGUCCUAUGACUUCAAGGGUGUUAAUGGGCCACUUCACUUGAAAUGGUCCCUUAGAAUAUGUGCUAACUGCUUAUGCUAAACUAUCUGUUCUAUCUUGUAUUUAGCUGUGAACUAUGAGUACCU